rnacentral:sRNA from 1 species
AUGGCUGUCGUCAGCUCGUGUCGUGAGAUGUUGGGUUAAGUCCCGCAACGAGCGCAACCCUCAUCUUUAGUUGCCAUCAGGUUAAGCUGGGCACUCUAAAGAAACUGCCGGUGAUAAGCUGGAGGAAGGCGGGGAUGACGUCAAGUCCUCAUGGCCCUUACGGUCUGGGCUACACACGUGCUACAAUGGUGGUGACAGUGGGCAGCUAUGUCGCGAGACAAAGCAAAUCCCAAAAAGCCAUCUCAGUUCAGAUUGGACUCUGCAACUCGAGUCCAUGAAGUUGGAAUCGCUAGUAAUCGUAGAUCAGCAUGCUACGGUGAAUACGUUCUCGGGCCUUGUACACACCGCCCGUCACGCCAUGGGAAUUGGUUUUACCUUAAGCCGGUGCGCUAACCGUAAGGAGGCAGCCGUUCACGGUAGGAUCAGUGACUGGGGCGAAGUCGUAACAAGGUAUCCGUAGGGGAACCUGCGGAUGGAUCACCUCCUUUCUAAGGAUAUUGAUGAUUAGUUCGCUAAUUGUCCGGAUUGUUGUCUAUAUAUCUCUUUAUAAAUUAGCUAGUGCUAGGUGUUUCCUUAAUAGACUGGGCCGGUAGCUCAGUUGGUUAGAGCGCGCGCUUGAUAAGCGUGAGGUCGGAAGUUCAAGUCUUCCUCGGCCCACCAUUAAUAACGGGGGAUUAGCUCAGCUGGGAGAGCGCCUGAUUUGCAUUCAGGAGGUCAGCGGUUCGAUCCCGCUAUCCUCCACCAAAAACUAGUUAUAGUCUUAUUUGUUCUUUAAAAUCGUAAAUAUGAAACUAAUAACUGAUCAAAUAAUUUUUAAAAUUAAAUGAUUAACAAAAUACGUACAUAAAAUUUUUCUCUGUACGUAAUUGCAAUCAAGCGCAAAAGGGCAUUUAGUGGAUGUCUUGGCAUUAAGAGGCGAUGAAGGACGCGGCAGGCUGCGAUAAUCUAAGGGGAGUUGUCAACACACUUUGAUCCUUAGGUCUCCGAAUGGGGAAACCCGG